AGAGCGAACGCUGGCGGCAGGCCUAACACAUGCAAGUCGAGCGCCCGUAGCAAUACGGGAGCGGCAGACGGGAUAGUAACACGUGGGAACGCGCCCUUCGGUUCGGAAUAACUCAGGGAAACUUGAGCUAAUACCGGAUACGCCCUUACGGGGAAAGAUUUAUUGCCGAAGGAACGGCCCGCGUCCGAUUAGCUAGUUGGUGAGGUAAUGGCUCACCAAGGCGACGAUCGGUAGCUGGUCUGAGAGGAUGACCAGCAUCACUGGGACUGAGACACGGCCCAGACUCCUACGGGAGGCAGCAGUGGGGAAUAUUGGACAAUGGGCGCAAGCCUGAUCCAGCCAUGCCGCGUGGAUGAUGAAGGCCUUAGGGUUGUAAAGUCCUUUUAACGGGGAAGAUAAUGACGGUACCCGUAGAAUAAGCCCGGCUAACGUUCGCGCCAGCAGCCGC
rnacentral:rRNA from 1 species